UCCAGGCCUUACUGACACCGCAGGGUGUGUGGGAGUCCUCAGGACGGGCCUGCUGCCACCGUCCCACUGUCAGCAUGGUCCCCGCCACCGUGAUCACCCCCAGCAUUGUCAUCAUCCCCACCAUGACCUCUACCACCAUGAUCAUCACCACCACAACCACCACCACCACCACCACCACCACCACCACCACCACCACCUCCACCGUCACCACUGUCACCACCACCACCACCGUCACCACCACCACCACCACCAUCACCACCACCACCACCGUCACCACCAUCACCACCACCACCACCACCACCUCCACCAUCGUCACCACCACCACCACCACCACCACCGUCACCACCACCACCAUCACCACCAUCACCACCACCACCACCACCACCACUGUCACCACCAUCACCACCACCACCACCACCAUCACCACUGUCACCAUCACCACCACCAUCACCACCACCAUCAUCACCAUCAUCACCAUCAUCACCAUCAUCACCAUCAUCAUCACCACCACCACCACCACCACCAUCACCCCCACCACCAUCACCACCACCACCAUCACCACCACCACCACCACCACCACCACCACCACCAGCACCACCACCACCACCACCACCACCACCGUCACCACCGUCACCAUCACCACCGUCACCACCGUCACCACCACCACCACCACCACCACCACCACCGUCACCACCAUCACCACCACCACCACCACCACCACCACCGUCACCACCACCACCGUCACCACCAUCACCACCGUCACCACCACCGUCACCACCACCACCACCACCACCGUCACCACCGUCACCACCACCACCACCUCCACCACCAUCACCACCACCACCACCACCACCGUCACCACCAUCACCACCACCACCACCACCACCACCACCGUCACCACCACCACCGUCACCACCGUCACCACCACCACCACCUCCACCACCAUCACCACCACCACCACCACCACCGUCACCACCAUCACCACCACCACCGUCACCACCACCACCAUCACCACCACCACCGUCACCACCAUCACCACCACCACCACCACCGUCACCACCACCACCAUCACCACCAUCACCAUCACCACCACCACCACCACCACCGUCACCACCACCACCAUCACCACCAUCACCACCACCACCACCACCACCGUCACCACCAUCACCACCACCACCACCUCCACCACCAUCACCACCACCACCACCACCACCGUCACCACCAUCACCACCACCACCACCACCGUCACCACCAUUACCACCACCACCGUCACCACCACCACCGUCACCACCACCACCGUCACCACCAUCACCACCACCACCACCGUCACCAUCACCACCAUCACCACCACCACCACCACCGUCACCACCAUCACCACCACCACCACCUCCACCACCAUCACCACCACCACCACCACCGUCACCACCAUCACCACCACCACCACCGUCACCACCAUCACCACCACCACCACCACCGUCACCACCAUCACCACCACCACCGUCACCAUCACCACCACCACCGUCACCACCACCACCGUCACCACCACCACCAUCACCACCAUCACCACCACCACCACCACCGUCACCACCAUCACCACCACCACCACCACCACCACCACCGUCACCACCACCACCACCUCCACCACCAUCACCACCAUCACCACCACCACCACCGUCACCACCGUCACCACCACCACCACCACCACCGUCACCACCAUCACCACCAUCACCACCACCGUCACCACCACCACCACCACCACCGUCAUCACCAUCACCACCACCACCACCACCUCCACCACCAUCACCACCAUCACCACCUCCGGAUACUUCUGGGACCUGGACAGCGCCGAGGUCAGGAAUUCGUUGGAACGCAGUGAUCCAUUCGUGAAGGGAGAAUGAAAAGACGUUCUUUCAACUCAGCUUUUGGACUCAUGUCACUCCUGCACACCUGUCCCAGCACACCUGCCAUGUGUUUCCAGGGGAGACCUGCAGUAGGUAUAGAUGGGGGCCCCCCACGUGGAUCGCCCCAAAGCCUAAACAGCAAAGCACACGUUAAACAGUUUCCACAUUUUUUUCUGUUUUUUCCUUUUCAGCAGAAGAGCCUUGGUUUUCCUGAACAAAGCCUCAGAUGGAAUCCAGAAGGCAAACCUGCAGCAGAGCCGCCCUGGGUGCCGGAGGCCCAGAGGCUCCUGCGCAGCCCGCCCUCCUGCGCCCCAGAGCUCCUCGGUCCUUGCCCAUCAGGGGACAAGCC
rnacentral:lncRNA from 1 species